GACCCGCACAAGCGGUGGAGCAUGUGGUUUAAUUCGAUGCAACGCGAAAAACCUUACCUACACUUGACAUACUUCGAAUUUUCUAGAGAUAGAUUAGUGCCUUCGGGAGCGAAGAUACAGGUGCUGCAUGGCUGUCGUCAGCUCGUGUCGUGAGAUGUUGGGUUAAGUCCUAUAACGAGCGCAACCCUUACCCUUAUUUGCCAGCGGUUAGGCCGGGAACUAUAAGGGAACUGCCGGUAAUAAGCCGGAGGAAGGUGGGGACGACGUCAAGUCAUCAUGGCCCUUACGUGUAGGGCUACACACGUGCUACAAUGGGAGAUACAGACGGUUGCUAAAGCGCGAGCUGGAGCCAAUCCGACAAAGUCUCUCGUAGUCCGAA
rnacentral:rRNA from 1 species